UAGCCUUUCUUAGCUACUCUUUCCAGCUCCUCUUGCCACUCAUUCAUAGAAAAUUUACCAGUGUCCCCAUGCCUCAUCAUCUUAUGAGAAGAGGGUACUGGAAGCCUCCUGAGGGACCCUCUGUGUGUCUGUCCUGGACCCAGGAGCUCAGUGGGAGAGGAGCAGUGGGGUGAGGCCGUGGCGUACGCGGUGCCAGUGAGCUGCGUGGGCGAUGUGGCGAGGCAGCUUGCUUAGUUGGUAGGUUUGGGGAAAACAGAGCCCAUUUUAGCCCAGAGCUUGCAGGCAUCAUUUCCACAUUUCCAUGUUCCCAGGACAAAGGUGGCAGGGAAUACUGAUGCCCUGGCACGGUGGAGUCUGUGUUAAAAGGGGACUGUGCUGCCUGUGGGAUGUAAACAGAAGCGGAUCAGCAGAGGCCUUUGUGCUGGAAGGAUCCAACGAGUCUCAUGUGAUACACCAGCAGACCUUUCUACACAUCUGGCUCAGGAGCCUGGCUUAAGAAAUAGGACCCAGCUCUGUGUAUUACCUGUGGAUUCUCAGGACCUGGAUUGCCUUCACCAUCUGGGGAGAGGGAGGAGAGGUUCGUCAGGAGUAUCGUAUGAGGGGAUGUACAUGAUAGCACGCCGGAAAGUGUGAAGUUCUGAACAAGCACAAGGAAGACUGAGAUCAGAGUUUCUUGCAAGUGCCCCGAGAGACUGUGAACUUUGAGAAGGCAAGAAUGUGGUCUAAUCUGCUCACCACGUUAUCUUCAGCACCAGCAUAUAUGGAUACUGAGCAAAUAUUUGUU